rnacentral:rRNA from 1 species
AAUAGAUACCCAGGUAGUCCACGCCGUAAACGAUGAGUGCUAAGUGUUAGAGGGUUUCCGCCCUUUAGUGCUGCAGCUAACGCAUUAAGCACUCCGCCUGGGGAGUACGGCCGCAAGGCUGAAACUCAAAGGAAUUGACGGGGGCCCGCACAAGCGGUGGAGCAUGUGGUUUAAUUCGAAGCAACGCGAAGAACCUUACCAGGUCUUGACAUCCUUUGCCAACCCUAGAGAUAGGGCGUUCCCCUUCGGGGGACAGAGUGACAGGUGGUGCAUGGUUGUCGUCAGCUCGUGUCGUGAGAUGUUGGGUUAAGUCCCGCAACGAGCGCAACCCUUGAUCUUAGUUGCCAGCAUUCAGUUGGGCACUCUAAGGUGACUGCCGGUGACAAACCGGAGGAAGGUGGGGAUGACGUCAAAUCAUCAUGCCCCUUAUGACCUGGGCUACACACGUGCUACAAUGGAUGGUACAAAGAGCUGCGAACCCGCGAGGGUAAGCGAAUCUCAUAAAGCCAUUCUCAGUUCGGAUUGUAGG